GGCAGAGGGUGCAAACGUUGUUCGGAAUUACUGGGCGUAAGGAGCGCGCAGGCGGUCGUUCAAGUCGAGUGUGAAAGCCCCCGGCUCAACUGGGGAGGGUCAUUCGAUACUGAUCGACUGGAAGGCAGGAGAGGGAAGCGGAAUUCCCGGUGUAGUGGUGAAAUGCGUAGAUAUCGGGAGGAACACCAGUGGCGAAGGCGGCUUCCUGGCCUGUUCUUGACGCUGAGGCGCGAAAGCUAGGGGAGCAAACGGG
rnacentral:rRNA from 1 species